rnacentral:rRNA from 1 species
UACGUAGGGUGCAAGCGUUAAUCGGAAUGACUGGGCGUAAAGGGUGUGUAGGCGGUUUGUUAAGUCUGAUGUGAAAUCCCCGGGCUUAACCUGGGAACUGCAUUUGUGACUGCAUGGCUGGAGUGCGGCAGAGGGGGAUGGAAUUCCGCGUGUAGCAGUGAAAUGCGUAGAUAUGCGGAGGAACACCGAUGGCGAAGGCAAUCCCCCGGGCCUGCACUGACGCUCAUGCACGAAAGCGUGGGGAGCAAACAGG